AUUGAACGCUGGCGGCAGGCCUAACACAUGCAAGUCGCACGAGUGGCGGACGGGUGAGUAAUGUCUGGGAAACUGCCUGAUGGAGGGGGAUAACUACUGGAAACGGUAGCUAAUACCGCAUACCAUCGGAUGUGCCCAGAUGGGAUUAGCUAGUAGGUGGGGUAAAGGCUCACCUAGGCGACGAUCCCUAGCUGGUCUGAGAGGAUGACCAGCAACACUGGAACUGAGACACGGUCCAGACUCCUACGGGAGGCAGCAGUGGGGAAUAUUGCACAAGGGGCGCAAGCCUGAUGCAGCAAUGCGGCGGGUAUGAAGAAGGCCUUCGGGUUGUAAAGUCCUUUCAGAGGGGAGGCGUUACCCGAAGAAGAAGCAACGGCUAACUCCGUGCCAGCAGCCGCGGUAAUUC
rnacentral:rRNA from 1 species